CUGCUCGUGUGGAGGCGCAUACUCUCUGGCCGAGCAUCGGACUGUUUCUGCGGCGGAACACAAUGAGCUUCCGUGUUUCUGCUGCUCAGCCCUCUCACCGAGCCGUUACCGACACCGAGAGGCUGAUCCCGGUCCCUCAGCCCUCCAGCCGCUCAAUCCCCGCCGUGUGGAUCCGCAGGCCGGUGUUCGGGAGCGCAGCGGCGGAUAAACGUGUCUUUUGUUCGCGCUCCGCUAUUGUGCUGCUGCGCGUCUGAUGGCGGAUCCGCGUUCAUUCAGCAGCAGACGCGGGAAACGGGCCACAACCUCUGACAGGACGCUGACGCCAUCACAUGCGAUUCUGC
ensembl:processed_transcript